CGCGCGUCUAGCAUGCAGUCGGGCGGCAAGGGGGAGCAAUCCUCCCUAGAGCGGCGGACUGGUGAGUAACGCGUGGGUGACCUGCCCUUAGGUUGGGGAUAGCCCCUAGAAAUAGGGGGUAAUACCGAAUACGGUUAUCUGGUUAUGACUGGAUAAAGAAAGGAGCUUCGGCUUCGCCUGGAGAUGGGCCCGCGUCCCAUUAGCUAGUUGGCGGGGUAAGAGCCCACCAAGGCUCUGAUGGGUAGCCGGCCUGAGAGGGUGAACGGCCACACUGGGACUGAGAUACGGCCCAGACUCCUACGGGAGGCAGCAGCUAAGAAUAUUCCGCAAUGGUCGGGAGACUGACGGAGCGACGCCGCGUGGAUGACGAAGGCCGGAAGGUUGUAAAAUCCUUUUGUUGCUGAAGAAUAAGCUUUGCAGGGAAUGGCAGGGCGAUGACGUUAGGCAACGAAUAAGCCCCGGCUAAUUACGUGCCAGCAGCCGCGGUAACACGUAAGGGGCGAGCGUUGUUCGGAAUUAUUGGGCGUAAAGGGCGCGUAGGCGGCGGAGUAAGCCCGGCGUGAAAUACUUCGGCUUAACCGGGGAACUGCGUUGGGAACUGCUGUGCUUGAGUCUCGGAGGGGGAGUUGGAAUUCCUAGUGUAGGGGUGAAAUCUGUAGAUAUUAGGAAGAACACCGGUGGCGAAGGCGGACUUCCAGCCGGAGACUGACGCUGAGGCGCGAAAGUGCGGGGAGCAAACAGGAUUAGAUACCCUGGUAGUCCGCACCAUAAACGAUGUACACUAAGUGUUGGGCCGUGCGGCUCGGUGCCGAAGCAAACGUGAUAAGUGUACCGCCUGGGGAGUAUGCCCGCAAGGGUGAAACUCAAGGAAUUGACGGGGGCCCGCACAAGCGGUGGAGCAUGUGGUUUAAUUCGAUGAUACGCGAGGAACCUUACCUGGGUUUGACAUGGAGAGUGAGUCUGUAGAGAUAGAGGCGCCGAGCAAUCGGACUCUUCACAGGUGCUGCAUGGCUGUCGUCA
rnacentral:rRNA from 1 species